rnacentral:SRP_RNA from 2 species
GGCGGGUCUCCCCGCAUUGAGGGGUGGUGAACCUGGUCAGGUCCGGAAGGAAGCAGCCACAGCCAUUUUCCGCAAGUGCCGGGGGUCAGGCUCGCCGCC